UGAAUACGAGACGCUAAGGCGUUGAAGUAGUGUAUAUCAUACUUCCAAGAAAAGCUUGCACUGUCAUAGAUAAAAAACGCCUGUACCAUAACCGACACAGGUGGGUAGGUAGAGUAUACUAAGGGGCGCGAGAUAACUCUCUCUAAGGAACUCGGCAAAAUAACUCCGUAACUUCGGGAGAAGGAGUGCCUUAUUUAUAAGGUUGCAAUAACAAGAUCCAAGCAACUGUUUAUCAAAAACACAGGUCUCCGCUAAGUCGUAAGACGAUGUAUGGGGGCUGACGCCUGCCCAGUGCCAGAAGGUUAAAGAAGUUGGUUAGCAAUAGCGAAGCUGAUAACUGAAGCCCUGGUGAACGGCGGCCGUAACAAUAACGGUCCUAAGGUAGCGAAAUUCCUUGUCGGGUAAGUUCCGACCCGCACGAAAGGCGUAAUGAUUUGGAUACUGUCUCGGAGAGGGGCUCGGUGAAAUAGACUUGUCUGUGAAGAUGCGGACUACCUGCACCAGGACAGAAAGACCCUAUGAAGCUUUACUGUAACUUGAAAUUGAAAUUGGACUUUAUUCGCGCAGUAUAGGUGGGAGGCGUUGAUUGUAAUCUUGCGGGAUUAUUGGAGCCAUCAGUGAGAUACCACCCUUGUAAUGUUAGAUUUCUAACUUUGAAUCAUUAUCUGGUCAAAGAACAGUUUCAGGCGUGCAGUUUGACUGGGGCGGUCGCCUCCUAAACGGUAACGGAGGCGUACAAAGGUUUCCUCUGAACGGUUAGAAAUCGUAUCUAGAGUGUAAAGGCAUAAGGAAGCUUGACUGUGAGACCUACAAGUCGAGCAGGGACGAAAGUCGGUCUUAGUGAUCUGACGGUACUGAGUGGAAAGGCCGUCACUCAACGGAUAAAAGUUACUCUAAGGAUAACAGGCUGAUCUCCCCCAAGAGUUCACAUCGACGGGGAGGUUUGGCACCUUGAUGUCGGCUCAUCGCAUCCUGGGGCGGUAGUACGUCCCAAGGGUUGGGCUGUUCGCCCAUGAAAGCGGUACGCGAGCUGGGUUCAGAACGUCGUGAGACAGUUCGGUCCAUAUCCGGUGUAGGCGUUAGAAUAUUGAGAGGAGCCUUCUUUAGUACGAGAGGACCGAGAAGGACAUACCUCUGGUGUACCAGUUAUCGUGCCAACGGUAAACGCUGGGUAGCUAUGUAUGGAGUGGAUAACCGCUGAAAGCAUCUAAGUGGGAAGCCCACCUCAAGAUAGGUAUUCUCAUC
rnacentral:rRNA from 1 species